AACGAACGCUGGCGGCGUGCCUAACACAUGCAAGUCGUGCGAGAAAGUUCCUUCGGGAGCGAGUAAAGCGGCGCACGGGUGAGUAACACGUAGGUAACCUGCCCCCCAGUCUGGAACAACUAGAGGAAACUCUAGCUAAUGCCGGAUGAGACCACGAUCCCUUCGGGGGUUGCGGCCAAAGAUGGCCUCUACUUGUAAGCUAUCGCUGAGGGAUGGGCCUGCGGGCCAUUAGCUUGUUGGUGAGGUAACGGCUCACCAAGGCUGUGAUGGCUAGCUGGUCUGAGAGGAUGACCAGCCACACUGGGACUGAGACACGGCCCAGACUCCUACGGGAGGCAGCAGUGGGAAUAUUGCGCAAUGGGCGAAAGCCUGACGCAGCGACGCCGCGUGGGUGAUGAAGGCCUCGGUC
rnacentral:rRNA from 1 species